rnacentral:lncRNA from 1 species
UGUUGGUCAGGCUGGUCUCAAACUCCUGACCUUGUGAUCUGCCCACCUUGGCCUCCGAAGUGCUGGGAUUACAGGUGUGAGCCACUGCGCCUGGCCAACACACGUGUUUAAAUAGAAGACUGUAUAUUUCUUCUGACAUCUUGCUGGGAAAUUUUACCUCAGAGUGAAAAGAAUGUUGUUCAGUUGUCAGCUCUAAAUUAAGUUGUGUUCUCAGGCAAGUUGACAAAUUGCCUAAUCUUUUCUUAUGCCUGAUUUUUAACUGUUAAAAUGGUGAUUGGAGGUGGUUAGGGAUGACAAGACAUUGGGGAGGAGGCUCACAUCUAUUAAAUGCCAAUUAUGUGCCAAGUGAACAAUACUUUAUUUCCUCAGGCUUCAAGUACAAAUUACUGAAACUAAACUAAUGGUUACCUGUCUUGUGUGACUGUUUUUGCCAAGUGUAGAUUCUUGUAACUGUCUUUGAAGUAGGUGAAAAAUCAAAUAAGGUAUUGUCUCCAAAGCCCUAGAACAUCAGCCUAUGCCUCUAUGACAGACUUUUCACACAUCAUUGUCAUUAUUCGUUGACAUCAUUGAUUCCCAGCCCCCAACAGGAAGGAAUCCUGACUUAUUCAUCACCGUGCACAAGAGUAGCUCAAUGAAUAAUGGAAUUUGUGGUACUCCUGUUAUAAGUAUAAUAAUUUAGAUGGAAGAAAAUAAGUGAUAAGUAUAAAGUGAUCUCCGAAUGUAAUCUCUUUAAUGUCAGCUAUGACUAAAACUAAGAGCCUUAUGUUCACAGAUUGCUACUUAGUGAUGCCAUUUUUUUAUUAGAAGAAAUCGACUGGUACAUGUAUAUUUCAUUGUGAGGACCCCAAAUCUACUUGUUGGCUUAAGCAAGUUGAAAUUUAUUUAAGGAAUCUAAUUUCAGCAAGAACUCUAGGACUUAUAAGAAUUAUUGGCCAG